UUUGCCGAGUUGAAAAGCAAGUGAUGCA
rnacentral:piRNA from 1 species